rfam:Schistosoma haematobium scaffold718_3, whole genome shotgun sequence.
AUAAACUGACGAGUCUCAGAUAGGACGAAAUGUGCGUCCUGGAU